GAUGAACGCUGGCGGCGUGCCUAAUACAUGCAAGUCGAGCGAACAGACGAGGAGCUUGCUCCUCUGACGUUAGCGGCGGACGGGUGAGUAACACGUGGAUAACCUACCUAUAAGACUGGGAUAACUUCGGGAAACCGGAGCUAAUACCGGAUAAUAUAUUGAACCGCAUGGUUCAAUAGUGAAAGACGGCUUUGCUGUCACUUAUAGAUGGAUCCGCGCCGCAUUAGCUAGUUGGUAAGGUAACGGCUUACCAAGGCAACGAUGCGUAGCCGACCUGAGAGGGUGAUCGGCCACACUGGAACGGAGACACGGUCCAGACUCCUACGGGAGGCAGCAUUAGGAAACCUUCCGCAAUGGGCGAAGGCCUGACGGAGCAACGCCGCGGGAGUGAGGAAGGCCUUCGGAUCGUAAAACUCUGUUAUAAGGAAAGAACAAAUGUGUAAGUAACUAUGCACGUCUUGACGGUACCUAAUCAAAAAGCCCCGCCUAACUACGG
rnacentral:rRNA from 1 species